CCGCCCCGCAGUUCCGCACCCACCCUACGCUCUCCUCCCUCUCCACGGAACGCCUCGCGAGGGAACGCCCACGCAGCUGCCGGGAGGAUUCGGCGGGCGUCCGCCUGGACGCGAAAUGCCCGCCCAGAAGGGCCCGCUCCCGUCGCCCACCCCCGAUGAUUCCGAAGGCCGCGUCGCAGUGCGGCACACCGCCGCCAGCGGUGAUGGAGGCAGGAGCGGAGCCUCACAUGAGAUGGAUGGGGAGGCCUCCGCGCGUCAGGAGAGCCCACCGCAUCGGGGACCUCGCGACGGUGAUCCCGACGAUAAGGAAGAGGGUGGCUGCGGCGGAGGCGACGGAGUCGACACCACCAGCGAA
rnacentral:misc_RNA from 1 species